AGCCCCCACUCUAGCCCCUCCCCUCCCCUAAUUAAACAAUAAAAAUCCACUUACUUCUCCUAAACUAAAACAUUCUACCCAACUCAGUAUAGGUGAUAGAAAAGACCUUCGAGGCGCCAUAGAGAACUAGUACCGUAAGGGAAAGAUGAAAUAAUAAUGAAAUCCCAAGCAACAAAAAGCAAAGACAAACCCUUGUACCUCUUGCAUCAUGGUUUAGCAAGAAUAACCAAGCAAAACGAAUUUAAGCUUGCCCCCCCGAAACCCAUGCGAGCUACUCGCAAGCAGCUAUUAAUGAGCGCACCCGUCUCUGUAGCAAAAGAGUGGGAUGACUUGCUAGUAGAGGUGAAAAUCCAACCGAGCUGGGUGAUAGCUGGUUGCCCACGAAACGAAUCUCAGUUCUCCCCUGAUCCUCCCCCAUGGACCCACAACCCACGAUGUGAAAAUCAGAAGCAAAUUAAAGGAGGUACAGCUCCUUUAAACGGGAUACAACCCAAACUAGCGGAUAAUAUACCCCCAUGCCCCUUCCUCCAAUUGUUGGCCUUCAAGCAGCCAUCAACAAAGAGUGCGUCAAAGCUCAAUCCUUCCCUCAAAAAAUCUUCAUACAAUACGACUCCCUUCCUACUAGUAGGCCAACCUAUAACAAUAGGAGAAUUAAUGCUAUAAUGAGUAACUAGGGAUGACCCUCUCAAGCGCAAGCUUACAUACCCCAUUAUUAACAGACCAACUAAUACUCCAACUCCAACAAGACAAAAUAUUACCCACCCCUGUUAACCCAACUCCGGAGCGCUUGCUAGAAAGAUUAAAAUCUGUAAAAGGAACUAGGCAAACCCAAGGCCCGACUGUUUACCAAAAACAUAGCCCUUAGCAACCCAAGUAUUAAAGGUGAUGCCUGCCCAGUGACACCACGUUUAACGGCCGCGGUAUCCUAACCGUGCAAAGGUAGCGCAAUCAAUUGUCCCAUAAAUCGAGACUUGUAUGAAUGGCUAAACGAGGUCUUAACUGUCUCUUACAGACAAUCAGUGAAAUUGAUCUCCCCGUGCAAAAGCAGGAAUAAACACAUAAGACGAGAAGACCCUGUGGAACUUAAAAAUCAACAGCCACCACACAUCAAAUCCCAUCCUACCUAGGUCUACCAAUCAAAGCACUGGCUUAUAUUUUUCGGUUGGGGCGACCUUGGAGAAAAAUAAAACCUCCAAAAACAAGACAAACCCUCUUAACCAAGAACAACCCCUCAACGUGCAAAUAGCAACCAGACCCAAUACAAUUGACUAAUGGACCAAGCUACCCCAGGGAUAACAGCGCAAUCUCCUUCAAGAGCCCAUAUCGACAAGGAGGUUUACGACCUCGAUGUUGGAUCAGGACACCCUAAUGGUGCAGCCGCUAUUAAGGGUUCGUUUGUUCAACGAUUAACAGUCCUACGUGAUCUGAGUUCAGACCGGAGCAAUCCAGGUCGGUUUCUAUCUAUGACUAGCCCUUCCUAGUACGAAAGGACCGGAAAGGCGGGGCCUAAGCCACAAGCAAGCCCCCUCCCCAAGUAAUGAAUCCAACUAAAUUACCAAUGGACCACCCACACAUUUCCUAGAAAAGGACC
rnacentral:rRNA from 1 species